CCUACGGGUGGCAGCAGUGGGGGAUAUUGGACAAUGGGGGGAACCCUGAUCCAGCGACGCCGCGUGAGUGAAGAAGUAUUUCGGUAUGUAAAGCUCUAUCAGCAGGGAAGAAAAGAAUGACGGUAUCUGAAUAAGAAGCCCCGGCUAACUACGUGCCAGCGGCCGCGGUAAUACGUAGGGGGCAAGCGUUAUGCGGAUUUACUGGGUGUAAGGGGAGCGCAGCGGGCAAGGUAAGCAUGGGGUGAAAGGCGGGGGCCCAAGCCCCGAACUGCUAUGGGAACUGUAUAGCUAGAGUGCAGAGGAGGUGAGUGGAAUUCGUGGUGUAGCGGUGAAAUGCAUAGAUAUUA
rnacentral:rRNA from 1 species